CGUCUUCCACUGCAAGAAACAAACCUUCCAGUGGCUGGGCUCCGCCCUUCUCCUUGGUCAGAGCCCUCCAGGCUCCUAAGGGCGAAGCCGACACCUCAUCCCUUUGGAACUUGAAGUUCUCAGUCCAAGACCUCCGUGGAGAGUGAAAGACUCAAUGCCUCCUGACCGAGGCUUCAGGCCUGCCCCGGCAGCUAGGUACCUCUCCAGGGGAUGGAACUCUGUGGGAACUGCUAUUUAAUUCUGAUGGUUAACUCUGUCAGAUGGCCUUGAUAUAUGGGAAUAAUCGUUGCAGGAGGGUAGGGGAAAUAAGAAUCGCAAGACUCUAGCACAGGACGUGUGGAUUGAUGGAAACCUGAAACUGCCAUUGAGCAGAAGGAAAACAUCCCUUUCCAGAACCUUUCUCGUUUUUCUAAAAAUCUGCACUUUUGGAAGUGAUCCCCCAAAGAGACCUCCAGACUCUACCAUGAGUGUCUCCAGCUGAACUCAUCGUGUCUAAUCCUCACCCUAGCUUAUCCUGUUCAAAUCAUUUCCAUCUUUUUCUGGAUGAACCUGGGCGGAUGUCAGACCAGAGAAGAGCACAGAAUGUACCAGAGAGAAGAAGAAACAAAGAAUAAAGAAAAGCAUUUUUUUUGAGACGGAGUCUCGCUCUGUUCCCCAGGCUGGAGUGUAGUGGUACGAUCUCGGCUCACUGCAACAUCCACCUCCCAGGUUCAAGUUAUUCUCCUGCCUCAGCUCCCAAGCAGCCAGGAUUACAGGUGCAUACCAUCACACCUGGCUAAUUUUUGUAUUUUUAGUAAAGACAGGGUUUCACCCUGUUGGCCAGGCUGGUCUCAAAGUCCUGACCUCAAGUGAUCCACCUGCUUCGGCCUCUCAAAGUGCUGGAAUUACAGGCAUGAGUCACAGUGCCCAGCCGCAAAGUAUAUUUUUGUAAAAUUUCAUCAAGAUAAAUCUGGCUAAACCAAUAAACUAAUAAUAACAAAACUUGGGUUAUUGUUGACUAAAGGAAGGUGGCACAAAAUGGAAACAUUUUUAAACAUUCAAAAAAAAAAAAAGACUGGUCAGGCGCAGUGGCUUACACCUGUAAUCCCAGCACUUUGGGAGGCCAAGGUGGGCGGAUCAUGAGGUCAGGAGAUUGAGACCAUCCUGGCUAACACGGUGAAACCCCAUCUCUACUAAAAAUACAAAUCCUGGCUAACACGGUGAAACCCCGUCUCUACUAAAAAUACAAAAAAUUAGCCAGGCGUGGUGGCGGGUGCCUAUAGUCCCAGCUACUCGGGAGUCUGAGGCAGGAGAAUGGCGUGAACCCAGGA
rnacentral:lncRNA from 1 species